rnacentral:rRNA from 1 species
CGGUUGAUCCUGCCGGAGAGUGCUGCUAUUGGGAUUCGACUAAGCCAUGCAAGUCCAGGGGACCUUCGGGUCACCGGCGACCUGCUCAGUAACACGUCGAUAAUCUGUCCUGUGGUCCGGGAUAACCUUGGGAAACUGAGGCUAAAACCGGAUAGGGGAAUAUGUCUGGAACGACAAUUCCCCCAAAGGCAACGCCACAGGGUGAGUCGGCGGCGGAUUAGGUUGUUGGUGGGGUAACGGCCCACCAAGCCGAAGAUCCGUAGGGGCCUUGAGAGAGGGAGCCCCGAGAAGGACACUGAAACACUGGUCCUAGCCCUACGGGGUGCAGCGGCGCGAAACCUCUACAAUGCACGUAAGUGUGAUAGGGGGAUCCCAAGUGCCCAUACACUGUAUGGGCUUUUGCCAAGGGUAAAAACCUUGGCGAAUAAGUGGUGGGAAAGACCGGUGCCAGCAGCCGCGGUAACCCCGGCGCCACGAGUGGCACUCACAUUUAUUGGGCCUAAAGCGUCCGUAGCCGGUCUGGUAAAUCUUUUGUGAAAUCGUUGGGCUCAACUCAACGGCGCGCAUAAGACACUGCCAGACUCGGGACCGGGAGGGGUCAGAGGUAUGCCGAGGGGGAGCGGGGAAAA